AGUAUUGUUGCAUGGUGAUGAGGCUCAAUGUUGAUUGCAAUGGAUGCUGCAGAAAAAUAAGAAGGAUCCUUCUAAAUAUGAAAGAAAUAGAGACACAUUUGGUUGAGAAGCAGCAGCGCAGGGUGAGCGUGUGUGGGAGGUUUGUACCGGCAGAUGUGGCGAUAAAGAUGAGGAAAAAGAUGAACCGCAAGGUUGAAAUUAUGGAAAUCCAAGAGUUUGAUGGCAGCGCUGAACAAAUGGAGCAAAAGGCUAUGAUUACUACUUGUAGACCACACCAAGUAUAUUGCUUCUAGUUAUUUGUUAGCAAUAAUUAUAUAUACAUUACAAUGCCAUUGUUCUUGUUUCCCUAACCACCCUUCUUAAUCCAAUAAAAACCUCUUAAUAGGUGAUAUAAAAAACUUAUCUACUUCAUGAAACAAUAUUCCUGCAUAAUAAGAGAUCAUUUGGGAAUGCUUUUGA